rnacentral:rRNA from 1 species
GACGAACGCUGGCGGCGUGCUUAACACAUGCAAGUCGAACGGUAAGGCCCUUCGGGGUACACGAGUGGCGAACGGGUGAGUAACACGUGGGUGAUCUGCCCUGCACUUCGGGAUAAGCCUGGGAAACUGGGUCUAAUACCGGAUAGGACCACUGCCUGCAUGGGUGGUGGUGGAAAGCUUUUGCGGUGCGGGAUGGGCCCGCGGCCUAUCAGCUUGUUGGUGGGGUGAUGGCCUACCAAGGCGACGACGGGUAGCCGGCCUGAGAGGGUGACCGGCCACACUGGGACUGAGAUACGGCCCAGACUCCUACGGGAGGCAGCAGUGGGGAAUAUUGCACAAUGGGCGCAAGCCUGAUGCAGCGACGCCGCGUGAGGGAUGACGGCCUUCGGGUUGUAAACCUCUUUCAGCACCGACGAAGCGCAAGUGACGGUAGGUGCAGAAGAAGGACCGGCCAACUACGUGCCAGCAGCCGCGGUAA